AGGUUUCUAGUUAAAAUAUUUAAUUUUAUUUAAUAGUUUUUGUUUGUAAAUUUUAUAUAUUGUAUAAUUCAAACUCGAAUGAUUUAGUAUACAAGACCAUGAUUAUCGCAGUUUUUUUAGCGUAGUGUAAUUAUGAUUAAAAUAAAUCAAAAUUAGCUGCUAUUAGAAGAAACAUUUCGUAACCAGGGACAAUAAGAAACGUUUCUGAUCAAAAUUGGCCUUCUUCUUUCCACAUCUCUCUUGACUGGGAAUUGAUCGAUACCUAUCAAUCUUAGCCCCCUCUCCAAUCGUAAUAUUCCGAGCGUCAUGCCGUGGAGAAUCGAGACGUUGUCUCCGAUCACCACCCCGUCGUGUGGUCAAACAAAAUCCUCUUUUCCGAUCUUGGCUCCAGGGUGAAAGUCAACGGCGAAAGCUUCUCUGUUUUGGAUGAGUAAAGCGAGGAUUUUUCUGUCUUGAGUCCAGAGCUUGUGAGCGAUGCGAUGAGCUUGACAAGCGAGAAAGCCUUUGAAGCUUCGGAAGCAAUGGACGUAGCUUAAGCAAGCUGGGUGUCUUUCCUUUGCUGCUAUUAGGUCUCGCUUCACCGACUCCACCAUCUCUUCUCUGGGCUUUCUUGUAAAACGCUGAUGGGUAUUAGUUCUUCAAAUGAGGAAUUCUUCAAAGAAGCUGGCCAAGUUGUUGACGUCAGAUUUGGUAUGUCAAACGAUGGUGAUGGCAGAUUCCUUUGCUUUGGCAUGGUUGAGUUUGCAACUCCCAGAGAAGCACAGAAGGUCACAAGUGUUGUCUAUGUCCAUCAUCAAAUCAAAACAAAGAAGAAGGCUUUGCCCAUGCUGUUCUGAGCCUACACAUGAUGUAUAUUCCUGACCAUGGAGAGAUUGUUGGUGAGGAGACCAGGUGGUAGUAAGUGGGGGCUGAAAUAAAAUAUGGUUGGGCUUUGAAGAUACUUCAGGAAGGAGUAUUGAUGGAGAGGCAGACCAGUGUUUGAUCAGCCACACACACCAAGCUGGAGCUCCUCAUGUAUUGCAAGAACCGGUUGAAUUAAGUGCAGACCGUUUGGUUGUUGAGCUCCUGGUUCAAAAGACACACAAGGGUCAGUGAAGAAGAGAUCAAAGGAGGAACCAGUUGACUUAAGCGCAACUGUAGGGGUGAUGCGCUCCUGGUUUCAAGACUCCAUGUUGCUCACUUUUAAGCUUGGUCCUUCACUCAUUUUUUCCGUAUCAAGCUUAAGGAAGGGUAAUGGUGAGCUAUCCUGAAGGUCCAUGUCGUCUAGUGCCUCACCUCAGAUCAUAUGGAGGACUCAAGUGUCUCAAAGACACUCCUCAUCAGUCUCAUUCACUCAUAUGCAAGGGGAGUAACCAGUUCAAUCUUUGAGUUGAAGUUUGAUUGGUUUAUGCCUUCAGAAUUGAUGCAAGUGUUUAUGCAUUAGGUUAUAGGUACUUGGAAGUCUCUAUAUCAGAAGUUGGUCGUCCCUACACCCUUUGAAGAUGGCAAGGAGUCAGAAGAAAGGGGGAGACAUCAAACCAGCCAAGAGAAGAGAUCCGAGAUGUUGGUGUGUGCAAGUUAUGGAGUUCAUCCUUGCAGCACAAAGUCAAGCCAUGAUCCAGAGUCUAAGGACUCCACCAUGAGUUAUCUGAAGUUCAUUAGACUCACUGGCCAAUCCCGAGGCCUUGUUGAACUCUACUCUUUUUCCCUUAGCAAGUUUUGUCCCAAAGGGUUUUCUUGCUAAGUUUCUUAAUGAGGGAGCUUCUUCAAGGUUCCAAGCUUGUCCAAGGAUCUCCUAUGGUCAAGCUUGAGGGGGAGUGUUGGAAUGAAGAAGGAAGAAGCAAUGACUUAGUUGUUAGAAUGAAGAAAACAUGACCAAAAGGAAAAGAGUCAUUGCAUGAUCCAAGUCAACCUAUCCAUGGGAAUUCAUCCACGUAAUUCAUUUCCAAGGAAGCCCAUCCACAGAAACCUAUCCACAGAAUUUCACGGUAGACCUUUGCUCGGUCGUCAAAUGCGUCUUGAGGUUUCUCAACAGAGGGGAUAAAGACACACUUACACUCCACAAAGCAGCGGUGACAUGGAGCAUGGAAUAUCGUUUUGACAUUGUAGUCGAAGGCCUAGUUUCACUCCCACAGAUUCUUUAGAUAGGAAAGCGCCCAACUUCUCAUUUGAAUGUUAGUUCACAUGUUUGCUUAAUAAUGUACUUGUUACGUUGUGGUUAUGGUUUAAGUAAUAUACUCUUUUUGAUGUCUCUGGAUGUGUUGUACUUUAUUCUUAUGGAUUUGAUCAACUUGUGUGGUAGUGGUCGGAAUGCUUUUUUAUCUAAAAAAAUAUUUUUUUUUAA